rnacentral:rRNA from 1 species
AGUGAACGCUGGCGGUAGGCCUGACACAUGCAAGUCGAACGGCAGCACAGUAAGAGCUUGCUCUUACGGGUGGCGAGUGGCGGACGGGUGAGGAAUACAUCGGAAUCUACUUUUUCGUGGGGGAUAACGUAGGGAAACUUACGCUAAUACCGCAUACGACCUACGGGUGAAAGCAGGGGAUCUUCGGACCUUGCGCGAUUGAAUGAGCCGAUGUCGGAUUAGCUAGUUGGCGGGGUAAAGGCCCACCAAGGCGACGAUCCGUAGCUGGUCUGAGAGGAUGAUCAGCCACACUGGAACUGAGACACGGUCCAGACUCCUACGGGAGGCAGCAGUGGGGAAUAUUGGACAAUGGGGGCAAGCCUGAUCCAGCCAUACCGCGUGGGUGAAGAAGGCCUUCGGGUUGUAAAGCCCUUUUGUUGGGAAAGAAAAGCAGCAGGUUAAUACCCCGCUGUUCUGACGGUACCCAAAGAAUAAGCACCGGCUAACUUCGUG